rnacentral:rRNA from 1 species
GGGUUGUGAGGUUAAGCGACUAAGCGUACACGGUGGAUGCCCUGGCAGUCAGAGGCGAUGAAGGGCGUACUAAUCUGCGAUAAGCGCCGGUAAGGUGAUAUGAACCGUUAUAACCGGCGAUACCCGAAUGGGGAAACCCAGUGUGAUUCGUCACACUAUCAUUAACUGAAUCCAUAGGUUAAUGAGGCGAACCGGGGGAACUGAAACAUCUAAGUACCCCGAGGAAAAGAAAUCAACCGAGAUUCCCCCAGUAGCGGCGAGCGAACGGGGAGGAGCCCAGAGCCUGAAUCAGCAUGUGUGUUAGUGGAAGCGUCUGGAAAGGCGCGCGAUACAGGGUGACAGCCCCGUACACAAAAGCGCAUGUGCUGUGAGCUCGAUGAGUAGGGCGGGACACGUGGUAUCCUGUCUGAAUAUGGGGGGACCAUCCUCCAAGGCUAAAUACUCCUGACUGACCGAUAGUGAACCAGUACCGUGAGGGAAAGGCGAAAAGAACCCCGGCGAGGGGAGUGAAAAAGAACCUGAAACCGUGUACGUACAAGCAGUGGGAGCCCCACCACCAAAGCAUUUGCUGUACCGCGUUGACGGAGCGAAGCGACGUCAAACCGAUAAAACAGCAGUGUAAAGUGAGCCGCAGGGCGCUUUGCGCGACAGCGCAAAGGCAGGCGGUUUCGCGUAGCGAAAGCGAAUGCUUUGGGGUGGGGUGACUGCGUACCUUUUGUAUAAUGGGUCAGCGACUUAUAUUCUGUAGCAAGGUUAACCGAAUAGGGGAGCCGGAGGGAAACCGAGUCUUAAUUGGGCGUUAAGUUGCAGGGUAUAGACCCGAAACCCGGUGAUCUAGCCAUGGGCAGGUUGAAGGUUGGGUAACACUAACUGGAGGACCGAACCGACUAAUGUUGAAAAAUUAGCGGAUGACCUGUGGCUGGGGGUGAAAGGCCAAUCAAACCGGGAGAUAGCUGGUUCUCCCCGAAAGCUAUUUAGGUAGCGCCUCGUGAAUUCAUCUCCGGGGGUAGAGCACUGUUUCGGCUAGGGGGCCAUCCCGGCUUACCAACCCGAUGCAAACUGCGAAUACCGGAGAAUGUUAUCACGGGAGACACACGGCGGGUGCUAACGUCCGUCGUGAAGAGGGAAACAACCCAGACCGCCAGCUAAGGUCCCAAAGUCAUGGUUAAGUGGGAAACGAUGUGGGAAGGCCCAGACAGCCAGGAUGUUGGCUUAGAAGCAGCCAUCAUUUAAAGAAAGCGUAAUAGCUCACUGGUCGAGUCGGCCUGCGCGGAAGAUGUAACGGGGCUAAACCAUGCACCGAAGCUGCGGCAGCGACACUGUGUGUUGUUGGGUAGGGGAGCGUUCUGUAAGCCUGCGAAGGUGGCCUGUGAGGGUUGCUGGAGGUAUCAGAAGUGCGAAUGCUGACAUAAGUAACGAUAAAGCGGGUGAAAAGCCCGCUCGCCGGAAGACCAAGGGUUCCUGUCCAACGUUAAUCGGGGCAGGGUGAGUCGACCCCUAAGGCGAGGCCGAAAGGCGUAGUCGAUGGGAAACGGGUUAAUAUUCCCGUACUUGGUGUUACUGCGAAGGGGGGACGGAGAAGGCUAUGUUGGCCGGGCGACGGUUGUCCCGGUUUAAGCGUGUAGGUGUGUGUUCCAGGUAAAUCCGGUUCACUUUAACACUGAGGCGUGACGACGAGGCACUACGGUGCUGAAGCAACAAAUGCCCUGCUUCCAGGAAAAGCCUCUAAGCAUCAGGUAACAUCAAAUCGUACCCCAAACCGACACAGGUGGUCAGGUAGAGAAUACCAAGGCGCUUGAGAGAACUCGGGUGAAGGAACUAGGCAAAAUGGUGCCGUAACUUCGGGAGAAGGCACGCUGACACGUAGGUGAAGUGAUUUACUCAUGGAGCUGAAGUCAGUCGAAGAUACCAGCUGGCUGCAACUGUUUAUUAAAAACACAGCACUGUGCAAACACGAAAGUGGACGUAUACGGUGUGACGCCUGCCCGGUGCCGGAAGGUUAAUUGAUGGGGUCAGCGCAAGCGAAGCUCCUGAUCGAAGCCCCGGUAAACGGCGGCCGUAACUAUAACGGUCCUAAGGUAGCGAAAUUCCUUGUCGGGUAAGUUCCGACCUGCACGAAUGGCGUAAUGAUGGCCAGGCUGUCUCCACCCGAGACUCAGUGAAAUUGAACUCGCUGUGAAGAUGCAGUGUACCCGCGGCAAGACGGAAAGACCCCGUGAACCUUUACUAUAGCUUGACACUGAACAUUGAGCCUUGAUGUGUAGGAUAGGUGGGAGGCUUUGAAGUGUGGACGCCAGUCUGCAUGGAGCCGACCUUGAAAUACCACCCUUUAAUGUUUGAUGUUCUAACGUGGACCCGUUACCCGGGUUGCGGACAGUGUCUGGUGGGUAGUUUGACUGGGGCGGUCUCCUCCUAAAGAGUAACGGAGGAGCACGAAGGUUGGCUAAUCCUGGUCGGACAUCAGGAGGUUAGUGCAAUGGCAUAAGCCAGCUUGACUGCGAGCGUGACGGCGCGAGCAGGUGCGAAAGCAGGUCAUAGUGAUCCGGUGGUUCUGAAUGGAAGGGCCAUCGCUCAACGGAUAAAAGGUACUCCGGGGAUAACAGGCUGAUACCGCCCAAGAGUUCAUAUCGACGGCGGUGUUUGGCACCUCGAUGUCGGCUCAUCACAUCUGGGGCUGAAGUAGGUCCCAAGGGUAUGGCUGUUCGCCAUUUAAAGUGGUACGCGAGCUGGGUUUAGAACGUCGUGAGACAGUUCGGUCCCUAUCUGCCGUGGGCGCUGGAGAACUGAGGGGGGCUGCUCCUAGUACGAGAGGACCGGAGUGGACGCAUCACUGGUGUUCGGGUUGUCAUGCCAAUGGCACUGCCCGGUAGCUAAAUGCGGAAGAGAUAAGUGCUGAAAGCAUCUAAGCACGAAACUUGCCCCGAGAUGAGUUCUCCCUGAGACUUAAAGUCUCCUGAAGGAACGUUGAAGACGACGACGUUGAUAGGCCGGGUGUGUAAGCGCAGCGAUGCGUUGAGCUAACCGGUACUAAUGAACCGUGAGGCUUAACCUUACAACGCCGAAG